AGAACCUUACCUAGGCUUGACAUGCACGGAAAUCCUCCAGAGAUGGUGGGUCCGUAAGGGCCGUAUACAGGUGGUGCAUGGUUGUCGUCAGCUCGUGUCGUGAGAUGUUGGGUUAAGUCCCGCAACGAGCGCAACCCUCGUUCUAUGUUGCCAGCACGUCAUGGUGGGGACUCAUAAGAAACUGCCGGGGUCAACUCGAAGGAAGA
rnacentral:rRNA from 1 species